AUUGAACGCUGGCGGCAGGCUUAACACAUGCAAGUCGAGCGAGCGGCGGACGGGUGAGUAAUGUCUGGGAAACUGCCUGAUGGAGGGGGAUAACUACUGGAAACGGUAGCUAAUACCGCAUACCAUCAGCUGUGCCCAGAUGGGAUUAGCGAGUAGGUGGGGUAAUGGCUCACCUAGGCGACGAUCCCUAGCUGGUCUGAGAGGAUGAUCGGCCACACUGGAACUGAGACACGGUCCAGACUCCUACGGGAGGCAGCAGUGGGGAAUAUUGCGCAAUGGGCGCAAGCCUGAUGCAGCAAUGCCGCGUGUGUGAAGAAGGCCUUCGGGUUGUAAAGCACUUUCAGCGGGGAAGCGGUACCCGCAGAAGAAGCACCGGCUAACUACGUGCCAGCAGCCGCGGUAAUAC
rnacentral:rRNA from 1 species